rnacentral:rRNA from 1 species
GUCGAACGAUGAACCACUUCGGUGGGGAUUAGUGGCGAACGGGUGAGUAACACGUGGGCAAUCUGCCCUGCACUCUGGGACAAGCCCUGGAAACGGGGUCUAAUACCGGAUAUUGACCUUCACGGGCAUCUGUGAGGUUCGAAAGCUCCGGCGGUGCAGGAUGAGCCCGCGGCCUAUCAGCUUGUUGGUGAGGUAAUGGCUCACCAAGGCGACGACGGGUAGCCGGCCUGAGAGGGCGACCGGCCACACUGGGACUGAGACACGGCCCAGACUCCUACGGGAGGCAGCAGUGGGGAAUAUUGCACAAUGGGCGAAAGCCUGAUGCAGCGACGCCGCGUGAGGGAUGACGGCCUUCGGGUUGUAAACCUCUUUCAGCAGGGAAGAAGCGAAAGUGACGGUACCUGCAGAAGAAGCGCCGGCUAACUACGUGCCAGCAGCCGCGGUAAUACGUAGGGCGCAAGCGUUGUCCGGAAUUAUUGGGCGUAAAGAGCUCGUAGGCGGCUUGUCACGUCGGUUGUGAAAGCCCGGGGCUUAACCCCGGGUCUGCAGUCGAUACGGGCAGGCUAGAGUUCGGUAGGGGAGAUCGGAAUUCCUGGUGUAGCGGUGAAAUGCGCAGAUAUCAGGAGGAACACCGGUGGCGAAGGCGGAUCUCUGGGCCGAUACUGACGCUGAGGAGCGAAAGCGUGGGGAGCGAACAGGAUUAGAUACCCUGGUAGUCCACGCCGUAAACGGUGGGCACUAGGUGUGGGCAACAUUCCACGUUGUCCGUGCCGCAGCUAACGCAUUAAGUGCCCCGCCUGGGGAGUACGGCCGCAAGGCUAAAACUCAAAGGAAUUGACGGGGGCCCGC